AGCGAACGCUGGCGGCAGGCCUAACACAUGCAAGUCGAACGGAUCCUUCGGGAUUAGUGGCGGACGGGUGAGUAACACGUGGGAACGUGCCCUUUGGUUCGGAACAACUCAGGGAAACUUGAGCUAAUACCGGAUGUGCCCUUCGGGGGAAAGAUUUAUCGCCAUUGGAGCGGCCCGCGUCUGAUUAGGUAGUUGGUAAGUUAAAGGCUCACCAAGGCGAAGAGUAGUAGCUGGUCUGAGGAGAUGAUCAGCCACAUUUGGACUGAGACACGGCCGAACCUCCUACGGGAGGCAGCAGUGGGGAGUCUUGCGCAAUGGGCGAAAGCCUGGCGCAGCCAUGCCGCGUGAAUGAUGAAGGUCUUAGGAUUGUAAAAUUCUUUCACCGGGGACGAUAAUGACGGUACCCGGAGAAGAAGCCCCGGCUAACUUCGUGCCAGCCGCCGCCGUAA
rnacentral:rRNA from 1 species